CAUUGCUAUACAGCAUUUCCAGGUAAUGUAGACAGACUGGGAUUUUUUGGAUAUCCUAAGCCUGUCUGCAUUUUUUCUAUCUUUCUUGUGGCAUAAAUAAAAAGAAAAGCAUACCAGACCUAGUGAGAAGACGGACAAGAGUCAACAAAUAAGCCCCCAACGUUUGCUUCAGAUUCAUUAGGACUAUAGAUAACUCUCCAUAACUUCCCAUUAAAAAUAAUAAAUGCUGUGGGUAUCGUUUAUUAUGAGCCAUCAUUUAUGAUGGCUGAUAGGAAAAGGUCAAGGCAAAGCAGCCAAAAUUAGAUACAAUUCCAAUUUUGUCAUUUUGGUGUAACUAGCAACAAAUACAAGACCAUUUUUUUUCUCAGAAUUAGACUUUUGUAGCUAACUAUUAAAAACGAAUAUGCACAGCAUUAAUUAGGAUGAGCAAGACUCUUCUACCCAUAUAAAGAAUGUGUCCUGGACCAGCUCCAGUGCUUUUAAUCAGUGCUACGUUACUUUAUAAAGCAUGGUUUAAAAAUACACCACCAAGCCUCCAAAAUAGAAAAUGAAUGGGUUACAUAACAAAGAAGCUGUCAAUUAAUCUGAAUAUGAUUAAACUAAUAAUUAAAAAUGUU